rnacentral:rRNA from 1 species
UACGAAGGGGGGCUAGCGUUGCUCGGAAUCACUGGGCGUAAAGCGCACGUAGGCGGACUCUUAAGUCGGUGGUGAAAUCCUGGAGCUCAACUCCAGAACUGCCUUCGAUACUGGGAGUCUCGAGUCCGGGAGAGGUGAGUGGAACUGCGAGUGUAGAGGUGAAAUUCGUAGAUAUUCGCAAGAACACCAGUGGCGAAGGCGGCUCACUGGCCCGGUACUGACGCUGAGGUGCGAAAGCGUGGGGAGCAAACAGGG